UAGGGAAUCUUCGGCAAUGGGGGGAACCCUGACCGAGCAACGCCGCGUGAGUGAAGAAGGUUCUCGGAUCGUAAAGCUCUGUUGUUAAGGAAGAACGAGUGUGAGAAUGGAAAGUUCAUGCUGUGACGGUACUUAACCAGAAAGGGACGGCUAACUACGUGCCAGCAGCCGCGGUAAUACGUAGGUCCCGAGCGUUGUCCGGAUCUAUUGGGCGUAAAGCGAGCGCAGGCGGUUAGAAAAGUCUGAAGUUAAAGGCAGGGGCUCAACCAUUGUCGGCUUUGGUAACUGUUUGACUUGGGUGCAGGAGGGGGGGGAGGAAUUCCAUGUGUAGCGGUGAAAUGCGUACAUAUAAGGAGGAACACCGGUAACGGUAGCAGCUCUCUGCUCUAUAACUGACACCGAGGCUCGAAAGAGUGGGGGGCGAACAGG
rnacentral:rRNA from 1 species